rnacentral:rRNA from 1 species
UACGAAGGGGGCUAGCGUUGCUCGGAAUCACUGGGCGUAAAGGGUGCGUAGGCGGGUCUUUAAGUCAGGGGUGAAAUCCUGGAGCUCAACUCCAGAACUGCCUUUGAUACUGAGGAUCUUGAGUUCGGGAGAGGUGAGUGGAACUGCGAGUGUAGAGGUGAAAUUCGUAGAUAUUCGCAAGAACACCAGUGGCGAAGGCGGCUCACUGGUCCGGUACUGACGCUGAGGUGCGAAAGCGUGGGGAGCGAACAGG